GUGCUCGCUUCAGCAGCACAUGUACUAAAACUGGAAUGCUACAGAGAAGAUUAGCACGGCCCCUGCGCAAGGACGACACGCAAAUUCAUGAAGCCUUCCAUGCUUUU
rnacentral:snRNA from 1 species